GAGAGAGAGAGAGAGAGAGAGAGAGAGAGAGAGUAAUUAUUCUAGUGUGAAUGAAGGUUGGGUGAAUGUUUUGAGUCCUCAGGGAAUAAAGAAACAAAAAGGGCAUGUAAUUCAUGCCAAGAGCACAGUGACACACUUCGAUUGAAUGCCGUACCGUAAAAAAACGAACGAACUUGAGUAUUUCCUGAUUUACGCUGUGAUUGAAAUGCUUUAAUACGUCAACAAAAUGAAACAAGAACUUGGAACCUGACAAUUCACUGCAAGCGAAGACAUCAAAAAUUCAAAUUAAAAAAAGCAUCUCUGUUUGGAUGUGUCACCCGUCGUCGCUGAAGCACAUCAACACCCCGGUCCACGGUCGCCACUGAUGAAUAAAUGAAGAGAGACACUGCUGAUGUCAUCCUGAGCGACCGCAUGCAGACCAACCCCCUCCGGACCAACUAGUCUAAUUGGCCUCCUCAGAGACUCGGCCAGACCCAAGACACGAGGACAUAGUGAAACCUGACAGGGGUGUGCGCCUGACGACGCUCUUCUGCGAAACCAAGUAGGCCAGCACAACAAAAGAGGGCCAGUUCACCCAGAGUCGAUGCCGUAUGUUCACGCGGGACGCUGAACGACCUCUAUCUGCCUCACAAACGGAACGCUCCUCAAGAGGUUCCUCAAGAUACUUAUCAUACUACACGUCGAUCAACUCUAAACCAGCCAAACGAACAAAUAUACAGGUUGUUUUGGACGUAGCGCCUCGGAGUUGCACUUAAACGCCGAUGUAUAUGUAUCUAGCCAUUCUUCAGUAGCACCACGGCUCUUCUGGUGACCCUACUAAACCCACUUUUUCUCAUGAACGCCAGGGUUGUAGAUGUCAAACGAGAUCCCACCCACCGAACAUUCAAAAGCUCUGGAAUGCUUCUGCAGUCUAUUAUUAGUCCUAAAUCUAAAAUAUUAGUUCAAGACGUUCAAUGCUCUUCCUGCAGAAAGCCAACAGCAGAUAGAGCGACGCUGGCUCUUACGUAACAGAUUUGUGUUGUGACAGAUGGCCCUUGGUUAGGUGUAACAUGCACAGCACUUUGCCUUUUUUUAAACGCUUAUCUUUGAAAUUGUGUGCAUAUUAACAGAAUAUUACGAGCCAAAGGAUUUUGGGAUCAUUUAGCGCUUCUUACAAUUAAACCGUUAAAAGACAUCCAUAAAACCAUAGCGCACUAUAUUCUAAGUCACAUAAUAUUAGUUUAAAGGGGUCACUAGAAAGCAAAAACAUUCUGUGAGUUUCAUAGCUUACAGUGCCUUUCGUCACUAUAAACGAAGCAUUUAUUUAAUCAAGAUCCAAAGACGGCUCGUUUUGGAACCGAAGGGUAAGGUGACGUUCGCCUUCAAGAGCAGAACAUCAACCAAUAGUCAUCUACUCGCCAUAGGCCCCGCCCACUGGUUUUCAAUCGUCAAAGGGCCGACACUUGAUCACGCGAAACGUGGGUGUCACAUUGCGUAAAUUUGUUUUUGUACAAAAUUACAAUUACAGACCAUUUCAGAGAAAAGUUUACAAUUAGGGUCGGAAAAAGAUCUAUAUUUUAACAACGAUAUCAAGAAACACCUUAAAAUACUAAUGAAUGGAUUCACGUAAUUAUCUCUUCAAAGAACGUACAGACCUUCGGGAACCGGUUUUCACUUCGCAAACAAGUCACUUUGGUAUUUUUGCUCAGACCCCGGCGGAGCUGGUACCCGUUCACUUUCAUGGUAUGGAAAAGAGCAGCGUGAACGUUGUACCAAACGCCUCCUGUCAUGUUCGUACAUUAAAAAAAAAGUUUUUCAAAAAAAGUUUGCAAAGGAUGAAAGGGUGAGUAAACAAUUGCAGAAAACAAUAGUUAGUUUUUGAGCGCGCUGUGCCUUUAAAAGCAAGCUUUCCCACACUUUCCCGAGUUACCACUCAAGCUAGUUUGAAUUCAAAGCAUAGUUGAGACAUGACACUGCACAUGUUUAUACAGUACGUGCAUCACGGGCUCUUCCAAAGGUGUGGUGCUCGUAUCUGACACUAUUUCCAGAUAUUACAGUGUCAAAAUCGACAUUAGGCAACUCUAAAUCAUCACACACUUUGCUGCGCUUCAGGUCAACAAAGUGGUUUGACUGAAAAGCACGCUUUUUUUUAAAGUGAGGGUGCAAGGUUGAGACUUCAAGCGAAGGAAAAUAAACACAAUCCUCUUUUCUGAGUCUAGGCCUUAAGCUGGUCAGCUGACAGAUGCAUCGGGCUGAAAGUUCAUAACCUGAAGGCUUGAAAUUCCUCUCAAGUUCAUCCAGCCCGAAUGGACUUAAGAACGGCUUGUUUUAAAACGCUCGGACACGUGCACGCGUCGCCUUAAACUUUCUAUAUCAAUGCACGGGGAAGCGUGUGAUGCGGCUUUACGCGAUUGAUGUUUAUACACCAGCCGUGUCGAAACGCAAAGCGAGCGCCAGACGCGCCGAAAGGCGUCCAAUCAAACGCAAA